CACGUAGGGGGCGAGCGUUGUCCGGAUUUAUUGGGCGUAAAGAGCUCGUAGGCGGCUCGGUAAGUCGGGUGUGAAAUUUCGAGGCUCAACCUCGAAACGCCACCCGAUACUGCUGUGGCUAGAGUCCGGUAGGGGAGCGUGGAAUUCCUGGUGUAGCGGUGAAAUGCGCAGAUAUCAGGAGGAACACCAGCGGCGAAGGCGGCGCUCUGGACCGAGACUGACGCUGAGGCGCGAAAGCGUGGGGAGCAAACAGG
rnacentral:rRNA from 1 species